rnacentral:rRNA from 1 species
AUAGCGUAUAUUAAAGUUGUUGCAGUUAAAAAGCUCGUAGUUGAAUUUCGGGAUCAAUAUGUUGGUCGUGCCUCGGUACGUACUAGCAUAUUGGUUUCUCCUUUCUGAAGAACCAUGAUGUCAUUUAUUUGGUGUCGUGGGGAAUCAGGACUGUUACUUUGAAAAAAUUAGAGUGUUUAAAGCAGGCUCACGCUUGAAUACAUUAGCAUGGAAUAAUGAAAUAGGACGUUUGAUUCUAUUUUGUUGGUUUCUAGGAUCGACGUAAUGAUUAAUAGGGAUAGUUGGGGGCAUUAGUAUUCAAUUGUCAGAGGUGAAAUUCUUGGAUCGAUAGAAGACUAACUAAAG